rnacentral:rRNA from 1 species
UACGUAGGAGGCGAGCGUUGUCCGGAAUCACUGGGCGUAAAGCGCGUGUAGGCGGAUCGCUAAGUCUGUGGUGAAAGCGCCUGGCUUAACCGGGCGAGGUCCAUGGAAACUAGCGGUCUGGAGGCCGGUAGAGGGGGGUGGAAUUCCGGGUGUAGUGGUGAGAUGCGUAGAGAUCCGGAGGAACACCAGUGGCGAAGGCGGCCCCCUGGGCCGCGCCUGACGCUGAGACGCGAAAGCGCGGGGAGCGAACGGG